CAUAAUGUCCAGGCUGCUGCACAAACUCCUCCUCACAGUGGUCCUCUGCCUGCUGCUCCUCAUCACACUCCUUCCCAGCUCUGAGGUCGUCGUGGAAUGGGGUCGUGGAGGCGGUCGUGGAAUGGGUCGUGGAGGCGGCAGUGGCUACAACCGAGGUUGGGGGGGCCAGAGCUAUAGGACCAGCCCCUGUCCAGAGCAGCGGCCCCCAGUGCAGGGAAAGUACUGGUGCAGCGGCUGCAGGUGCCAUCGGAGGAGCCAAUGCUCGGCUCUGCCCUGAGUCGCCCUGGGUAUGGGUACGGAGGAGGCUAUGGGGGAUAUGGAGGGUAUGAGGGAUACGGAGGUGGAUAUGGAUACCCACACUUCGGUGGAGGCAAUGGCGGUGGCUACGGUUCGAGGCCUGCCUACGAGUCAGAAGGGUCUGGGGAUAUGGAGUACUACGCUGCAGCAUCCAGUGGACCUGUCUACAACAGCAUCAUCGUUAUCAUCGCCUCCAUGAUGUCCCUCCUGAUGGACCACUGGAUGGCGAUCAUGUAACUGAUGGCAGCACAAACACAACCCUGUACAAGAAUAACCCUCACCUGACAAGAAACAAAUAUCACCUAAACAUGUUCCUUGGAUGAACAAAUGCUGUGACAGAAAAAAUUAACUUUAUUUUGACAGCGUGACGCCAGUCUUCAGUGUGAGGAAACAUUAUCUUUAGGUUUACAUGUGUUGUGU